ensembl:lncRNA
GUUUUCGCCCGUUCGGGGUCGCUGGCAUUUUCGUGAACUUCAGUUGGUAACACUGCUUAUAAUUUGAGUUCUGGCAAUCGCCACACGCCUACGGGUUAGUUUUAGUUCUUGAUUUAUGUUAAACUGUUUUCGGCCACCGCGCCAUUGUUUCUUUGUAUUUGUUUGUUUAUGAAUAAUAAUAAAACCCCCUUCCCAGUAUGUCAGACCUCUGCGCUUCCUUCCCCCGUAAGUCCGUAGUCGUGACAGAAUGCCAGCGACCCACCCAAAAGCGCAGAGGUGGAAAGCAGAGGAGAAGAAACGCCGCGAAGGACGCAGCCCGGCGCGGCGAACGCGGACGCCAGGGGAGAGACGCGCCGCCCGUUCUGGUGGAGCGUUUUCUCCCCGAGAAGCCGUGGUACGCGGCGCCGCGUGAUGACGUCACCCCCGGGAAACUCCGCGAAACCCGGAAGCGACAACGUCGGCGGGUGAGUGGGCGGAGCGAGGACGUUGGCGUCGGCAGCAGCGAGGAAGUGACUUGGGCAGCGAGCGCAGAAGAUGCGACCCCCACGAUCUUCGCCAUGUCGAGCCAAGAACUCUGCGCUCUGCUGGCCAGGCUCCCCGUGGACUGGGACGACACGGACGACGACGAGAGCACGGGAGACGAGAGUUGGGCUCCGCCCAUCGCGCCAGUCUGCGAUCGUCGCAAGGUCCGUGGGGACCCACGUCACUUCCAGGGGGGUGAGAAGCGGCAACAACAACAACGGCGGCGUUCCUCCAGCGAGGAGGUGGGCAGCCUCCAGCCCGAAUGGCCAGAGUACUGCCCAUGGGAGCUUAUCGCGCCAUGGGUCCAGGAUGUCCGCAGGGUGGACGACCCUCGGAGUCACCGGUGGGAGGACACGGAUGACGAAAGCGAUGAUGACGUGGAUUUUCGGUGGGCGGUCGGUGCCGGGAUGGCUCCGCCCAGCGUGCGCGUCCGAGAUCAUCGCGGCGUCCGUGAUGACCCAUGUGACUUCCAGGGGUACGAGGUGGACACGGACGACGACCAGGAUGACGCCGUUUGGGCAGUCGGUGCCGGGAUGGCUCCGCCCAUCGCGCCCAUCCAGGAGCGUCACGAGGUCCGUGGAGACCCACGUCCCUCCCAGCAGUGUGAGGAAAGCUGGUGGAAGAGGGCGACGGGAGGUCGCCAGCCAGCAACUGCGCUGCCGGGACUGCCUCGCAGGGAAUCCUCCAUUCCUGCUCCAGUCGCCGACCCGCCUUCCCUCUGCCCGGACGUUCCCCAGCAAAAUGGCAGCGCAGCACCAGCGCCCACACCUGCUGGAGAAGACGUCCACCCCCCUCCACACCACACACCUACCACCAUCUCCAGCGACGUGCCCAGCCCAGUGUGGGACCGCCCAAUUGUCCCGGGACCCUUCAGUGGGGCAGCAGACACAGACGAGAUCACUACCAUCCUCACGUGUCUGACUGGAUCAGCAUGGGGCUGGAGCACAACCCUCUGGCAGCAGGGAGAGACAGACAGGAGUUUUCGGGACUUCCAACAGAGACUGAGGGCGGAGUUUGAUCGGCCUGAGCCAGGGAUCGAACUCUGCCCCUCCACCACAUCCAGUGCCAGUCAGGAUCCGGGGCAAGAAGACCC